GACAAUUUUACAUUGCCCGAAGAAUGUGCAUACAACAGGUGUUGAUAAAAUAAUACAACAUAUCAACAGGUCAACUGGUGAAACAUUGACAAAAAAAUACAACAUGGCAAUAGGUCAAGUGGUGAAACUUCAAACUCACAGCUUGCCUUUGAAGCCUAAGCCAGAGAAAGGGGAAGUUAACAAUAAUAUGGUUUAGGGACAUUAACUGCUACCUGCAAAGAGGUCAAUGCUGCCAAUCUGAAACCUUGAAGUUGCAUUCUUGUCUCGAACUGCUAUAAACCUAAACCUGAAUGCAUUUGACAAAUAGCCGGAUGAACCAACUGCAAAUGCUUUUCUUUGGAAACGUUUGUCAAACAUCUGGGAAGUUCGUUUAUCCAAGAGAUGCCAACUGGAACCUCCAUUUUCACUUCCUUCUAGCACCCAGUCUUUUGGAUCUCUCUCUGGAGCAUCAUUAGCAGACAUUAACUCAUAUGCCACAAGCUCAACCAUCCGGUUAUCAGCUACUUGAUACAUGAUCCAACAUCCUGCUGCACCAUUUGGUUCUUCCCACUUUGACAUCCGAGUUCCAUCAAAUGCACAUGUAGCAAUUCCAAAAGGAAGCUCCUCCCCACUAGCAAGGACUAGACCAGAACACAGUCUGUUCAACUUAAGCAGUGGCCAAGAGAGGGACCUGCUGUCUAGUCUAGCGCAUUGUUCGAUAUGGUAAAUCACAUCAUCCAGUGCAUGGAACACG
rnacentral:misc_RNA from 1 species